rnacentral:rRNA from 1 species
GAUGAACGCUGGCGGCGUGCCUAAUACAUGCAAGUCGAGCGGACGGACGAUGAUCUUGCGUCUCUGAUGUUAGCGGCAGAGGGGUGAGUAACACGUGUAUAACCUACCUAUAAUACUGGGAUAACUUCGGGAAACCGGAUCUAAUCCCGGAGAAGAUUUUGAACCGCGGUGGGGAAAGGUAAGAUACGGUGUUGCGGGCAGUAAUAGAUGCAUCCGCGCUGCAUGAGCUAGUUGUGCAGUUAACGGCUUACCAAGGCAACGAUGCAUAGCCGACGUGAGAGGCUGAUAGGCGACAUUGGAACUGAGCCAGGGUCAAGACUACUAAGGGAGGCAGCAGUAGGGAACCUUACGCAAUAGGCGAAAGCAUGACGGAGUAACGGCGAGUGAGUGAUGACGGUCUUCGGAUCGUAAAAAUCUGUUAUUAGGGAAGAACAUAUGUCUAAGUAAAUGUGGACAUAUUGACGGUAACUAAUAAGAAAGCCACGGCUAACUACGUG